UCCUCAUAGGAGUGAUGCUCCAUCCCUCUGAUCAUCUUGGUGGCCCCCUCUGGACUUGCUCCCAGAGGCUGGUGUCCUUCCUGUGCUGGACCCCCAGAGCUGGAUGAAGUACUCAGUUUUGUCACUGUCAUUUCUGCGUCCAUAAAUUUGGCUAAAAUUUAAGAGAAUGUGUGCAGGAUUUUGUGUGUUCUUAAAUAAUCAAGAAACAGUCUGGGGCACCAUCCAGAUACCUUUCAUAUGCCACUUGAGAUAAGAUCCUUACCAUGGAUGUGGAAGUGUUUCCACUCCUGACUUGGGAUAUGAUCCAAUAUGAUUCAAUAGGAGACCAUUUCCCACCUGGAAUGGAUAAUUUCAAGCAGUUUUAAAGAUCUCCUGGUAUAGCUUGGAGAACUGCCAUAACUCCCUGCCCUGCAUAUUCUGAAGUUCAAUUCCACCUACAUGCACUGCAGGACAUGCAGCUGGGGGUGCAUGUCUAUCACAGGUUCUUUUUCUGUUCAUGGACAUGACAUUUCUUUAAGAAAUUAGUUGGAAAGUCGAUGGUGCUGGAAAAACUAUUGUCUUUCUGUGCAGCAUUGUCAGAACUUAUGUGCUACAGGGAAAACGAAAGGGAAUUGCAUGAAUAAAAAUACAUGCUGCAUUGGCGACACUGGAAAUGACAAAUGUUGCUUCAGGGAAAAAAAAAACAACACACCACAAAAAAACCCAAACCAAAACAAAAAAAUCCCCAUAGAUCUUGCAACACCUUUUCCCUUUCUGUAUAGAAAUCCCUACUUUUCACUUUUUAAAUUUUCAUUUUCUUGAAUAAAUAAACUGUUUUUCUUGUUAA